ACCAUUUGUGUACAAAAUGGCCAGUCUGAAGUUGGGGAUACAGGUUAAAAAGAAGAAGAAGAAAAAUCCUGUGCAACUUCAGAGAGCUUACACUCGUGGCCAAAUGGAACAAGUUUCUUUUUUAUUUGGUACAUAAAUUUGUCCUAAGCAAUGCACUCAAAGGGAAAAUUCCCAAACAGCAGUGCUGGGUCUACAGUCAUUUGUCAAAUUAAUCAUGAUAUAUUUUCUUGCCUUGAAUAGUGUCGGCUGGAAUAUGUUACAUUCCAUUCUAGGAAGGGAAUCCAAGUGAAGAAUUCCUAACCAACAAUUUUUCAGUCUACAGAAAGAGUGAGAGUCCAAGUCCUUUCAUUACUGUUCACAACACUUUUUCCAUGGUCUUUCAGUUGGGAAGAUACAGUCAAAUGGCAGAAUUAGGAUUGAAACCUCAUACAGAGUUAUGAAACCAACACAGUGUUAGUGUUAAGGGAGACCAGGAUUCCAAUUAGAGGCAAUGCUGGGUUUGGUACAAGAUAACCACUUAGGGAAAAUGGAAAAAUAAUGUCAGGCCUGAUAAAUAUCUGACAAAAACUUAAAGAAAGAGUCCAAAUGCUUAACUCAGUCUUUUUUCUGAUACUGCAUCUGAAGUAUGUGGAUCAUCUGAUAAUGACAUUUCAGCAUUCAGCCAUAUAAUAGUUGACAAAGUAAUGUACUUCACACUGAAAGCUGUAAAACUAUAGUGAAUUAUAAAAUUAGAUAUCAAUUUGAAUACUACACAAUUUUUAAAAUGUAAAAUUUUGUAAUACGGAAAUGUUAUGUUCAUUUACUUCAUUUGAAGUAUGUCAAUAUUCUAUUUGACUCAGCAAACAUAAUCUAGUCACCUUGCUCAUGAGUGUCCACAGGAAAAAAAUAAAUUUGGCUAUCAACUAAUUUCUCUAGUUUCUGAAUGUUAUUAGUUAUGAGUUUUUUCUCCUCCUCUUCCAAAUUUGGACCUAAUAUUAGGACAAGGGACAUAUAUAUCUCUACAUAAAAAGCAGAGGGCUGGAAAUUUUCUGAUCAUCUGGAUUUUAAAAAACAUUCCCCAUGGAAUGUACAACCAAUUGAAGCAAUAUUUUUAAAGAAAAUACAUUUUUCUUAAUGUAUCAUGUUAAUUCCCUCUAUUCUUGUCUUGUUUGAAUGUGAGUAAGCAGUCCAUUGGAAAAAAAAAGAUAUUUUCCUGUUGUAGUAAAGAAUCAUAUCAUCUAGCUUUUUGGGAUUGGUGUAGAAUCCAGACAUCCUUUAUACUAUGUAAUAUGAUGACUAGAAUUUAACCUAAGUGAUUAGCCAAUGCACUAGAUUAAAAGUGAAUGAAUCCACUCAAGAGACAGGCAAGCACACAGGCAAAGCAGUCAUCCUUAGCAUCUAACUCUUACCUUUUAGGUUCAUGUGAGCAUGGGGAGAGUAGACAAGACUGAACAUGAGGACAAAAAUUGCUAGUCACCUGAGGCCAGAUUUUUGUCUUGGAUUGUUUUGGGAGAACUUUGCCAACAACUUAGAAAAAAAUGAUUAACUUGGACAUUCACCUAUAAUUCUUAGAACCCCUCCCGCUGGUGCAAAAUAUUAGCAUAGGACACUCUUGUUAAAAUGGUCCUUUGAGGUUUAGUAUCUCUAGGCUAACUGAAUCUGCCUCAAUCUCAUUUCAUCUGAAUUAUAAAAGCCACAUGUGUUCUGAUGUCCCAAUUAUGUUGUCACAUAGAGUCAUGCAAGCUAGCAAGCUUUGGGAUUAGUAGAGGAGAACAUUUUGAAAUAAUCUAAAAAAACAAACAAACCAUGCUUUUUAAUUACAAGAGGAUGGGGAAUGAGAUUUUCCCCAAGUGGAAAUUGCACCCAAAUGGAAGGAAGGCUUUACAAAAACAGAAUUAUUGAAAAAUAUCAGUAAAAUAAUGUCUAGGUGUUAAGUCAAAUAGUGACUCCGUAUAUAUUUUAGCCCAAUUAAGCCCAUAAAAGUUGCCAAUUUAUCCAUUCAUUGAUGAAAACCUUUGCUGAAUGUUCACUAUAUACGAAGCAUAUACAGUCAUGUGCCACAUAACAAUGUUUCCAUCAACGAUGGACCACAUAUACAACGGUGGUCCCAUAAGAUUAUACUGCUGUAUUUUUACUGUAUCUUUUCUAUGUUUAGAUAUGUUUAGAUACACAAAUAGUUACCACUGUGUAACAAUUGCUACAGUACUCAGUGCAGUAACAUGCUGUCCAGGUUUGUAGCCUAGGAGCUACAGGCUAUACUAUAUAGCCUAGGUAUAUUGUAGCCUAGGCUACACUAUAUGGCCUUGGUGGUACAGUGAACUAUACCACCCUAGGUUUGUGUAAGUACACUCUGUGAUCACACAAUAACAAAAUAGCCUAAUGACAGAUUUCUUGGAACAUAUUCCAGUUGUUAAGUGACACAUGGCUCUAGAUAAGUAUUGAAUAACACCCAUGUGUAAGGGAAAUGAAGAAAGAGCACCCUCUGGCCCUUUGAGGAGUGUCAUUCUCAGAGAUGACCCACAUCAGACAUGGAUGGCUGCCUGUACCAGGCUAGGCUCUCUACCCUAUUUUCUCACAAGGAGGAGAGUGAUUUAGAAUGUCCUGGAAGUAUUUCAUUGUUCUAUCAUGUUUGCAAUUGAUCAGCAUUAGAAAGAAAUUUUGCACCAUGGAGAGUCAAGCAUACUAAUGACACAAUGUGUACUUAUAAGUAAACUCAUCCCUACUUUGAAACCCAUCAAUGAAAGCAAACUUUUGGCCCCUGGGAGACACAGUGACAUUACAGUUUGAAAACCUAUUCCAACAAAGACCAUCAAAUCAAGGACUGAGUCUUAUCCACCUUUGUACUUGCGGCACCGUGCUUUGCUCAGAGUAAGUGCUCAGAAAGUCUUGUUUUAUCUAGAGUGAAAGAGGUAGGCUUCUGCACAGCGACAUACAUAGUAUGCUCAAAAGUAGCCUGAGUAGAGGCUCUGAAGUGUCCCCAGUGCAGUGAUCCAAGUAACUUAAGGUUAAUUUUGCCACCCUGUGUAAACACAGACUGCCUGAGGCCUCUUCAUUUCAUUUAGUUUGAAAGUCACACAAGACAGGGUUCAGAAUUUAAAAAUUGGAUACUCUCUUGGAUAUUGGUGAUGGGCCAUGAAAAAUAAAUUAGUUCCUUUAAGGAGUAUUUUUAAAACUCAGGAAUUGCUUAGAGAAAAAAGAGGGGCAAAGCAAUUUUUCCCAAUAAAUUUUUCUGUAAUCAAUUAAAUCUUUUUAGGAUUUGGAUAAUAUAACAGACUCAGAAUUUUGUCAUAAAAAAUAAAAUUGCCAAGAUAAUAAUAUAAAAUAAAUGUAGAAUAUUUAAUUUUUAUGAAUUUUCUUUUUAAUAAAAAAUUGACAAAUUAUCCCUCAACAAUCUUCCAACUGUUUAAUGUAUUAAAAUGAUAUAUGCUAUUUAAAAAUUAUUAGGCAUUCAUUAAAUUGGCAAGAUUUUAGAUUUCAUGUAUUCAAGAUUUUGCUUUGGUAAGAAGCAAAUUCUAUAAACUCCCUAUUGGAAACACGUAUUUUGGGAAUUAGAUAUUUUUCAAUGUGAGCUGCUGUUUUCUUCUAACUGCAGGGAAAAUGCUGUCUAAAAGAAAAUAAUAAAUUUGUAUCUGCUGAGUUCUCUUAGCAUAAGGCACCAACAAAACAAGCUUCAGGAAGGGAGAAGAAACCAUCCUCCCACUCAUCCUUCAGAGGAUUUAGAUAAAGUGAAGGGAAGAAUCGUUCUCCAGCUCCUUCGGAAUUUACGCCGGCAUCAGGGCAGGCUUGUUACUGCUGGAUCCAUUGUCUGCUCAAGGUUACUUAUUCCACUAAGACGUACAUCCUACCACGGACCACGGCUUUGUAGCUAGCCAGGCUCUGAGUGUGUGUGUAGAUGAACCAUUUCUCUCUCCAGUAAAUGAAUGACAGUCUUUCUAGGGCUCUUGUCUUCUGCUGGGAGGCAGAGCAUCUCUAGCCCAGGAAGAAUGCCCAGACAGAGUCAGGGGGAAUGGGGACACGAGAUAGAGUUCAUAUUUGUGAUCUGUCCCCUUCGUUUCUCUUUUUUCUCUCUCUCCCUCUUUCUUUUUUUUUUUUUUUUUUUUUUGCAUGGGUGGUGGUCGGGAUGUGUUGUUUUUGUUGUUGUUGUUGUUUAAGAUAUCAUUGGUAAGCAUCUCAAUAUGUGUUUACCAGAUAGUAUAAACUAUUAUAAGAACAGAAGAUAACAAGACUUUUAAUUGGUACAGAAACCUAUAUUGGGCAUCUAUUUUGUGCAACCCACCAUGCAGGUCAUAUGAGAGAUGCAAGACAAUGAGACAUAAUCCCUCCUUUGUGGAGCUUACAGUCUAAGUGACUGAGACCGGCUCACAGGUAACUGAGUGUUUCAGUCAUACUGACGUGUCAGGCAGUCUUUGGUUGCUGAGUACAUGGUUAUAAAGACUGUGAAGAAACAAAUUACCAUUCCACCAAAGCAAAUCAAAUAACGAAGACCCAAAUUGGAUCACUUCUCAUUUUCUAUUUUUAAAUGUACUUCAUAAAGACAUUUACUUACUAAAAUCAGUUUUUGUCUUAUACAACAUUAAAGUAACCAUAUGACCCUUUUAAUAUAGUUCAAGGAAAUUAUCUGAAUUAAGUAACUUGAUUUGUUAUUUUUCACCAUUGUGGGAAUUUUUAGAAGCACCAUCAUUCUAACUAAUAGCCAUAAAAUACAAGUUUAUUUAAUAGUUUCUUCAAGUUACAUAUGUUCGUAGUUUAGUGACAAAAGGUAAAUAAAAUUAAUAAACUUCAUAAAAAUCAGUGGACUCUGGAAAACAUUUUAAAAAUUCCUCUGUGAGCAACAGACUUUCAACACAUUUUCCCCCAAAGAUCAAAGGGCAUGAAUUAAAAUGAAAUAAGGAAAGUCUGCUAAUUUUUAACCUUUAAAGAUUAAGUAUUUAGGAAGAGAUAGAAACUGAAAAUGCCAUAUGCUUUUUGAAAAUUAAAAGAAACAUGGAAACCCUGUUCACAUGAUAAAAUUAUGACUGUGCACAAAGAAUUUUUAGAAGUCAUUACUCCUGGAUACUAAGAUUAGAAAUACUUAUAUACUAAGUAGAGUCAUAGUCAGAAAAAAGAAACCAUCUGAUUGAUUUAUGAGAAUCAAUUCAAAUAGUCCUUUGAAGUAUUAGAAUCAUUCUGUAUAAUGGCAAGCACAUGGUAGGGUAGUUUCCUAAUAAAUACUGGGUACAGUUGGGAGAAAACAAUGCAGUUUUGGACUAGAGAACCAAAACCUUCUGGAAUUUUCUAGGCUUUUUGAUUAUGGCCAAGCCGCCACUGGGCCUGACCGCUGGCAUUAUUGGUAUCCUAACUUUGGCUUUUUAUUAAAUAAAAAUAAGAAAUAUUUCUACAAAGGAUCACCCCAUCCUGGAGGCAGCUCAUAGUACAGAAAUUGGAAUAAUCUUGUCUUAAGUUUCUACCAACCUCGUCCAUCCUGCUACACACACCAUUUUAUACUCCAAUGAGUAUUUAAUUCAACAAAAAAUAAAAAUUAAAAAAUGGCCAUUUCAGAGUGAAAAAAAAAAUGUUCAGGCAAACCAGUUUUUGGAUUGACUUGCCUGGUAAGUAUUGGCAAAUGGUCACUCUGGUAGCCUAUGUGCAUACCCAUCCCAGGAGAGGCUAUUAAGUCCUGAAGGGUGGAAGAUGGAAAAUGAGUUUUGUUUUGCUUUUUUGCUCUUGUUGCCCAGGCUGGAGUGCAAUGGCGCGAUCUCAGCUCACCGCAACCUCCGCCUCCUGGGUUCAAGCGAUUCUCCUGCCUCAACCUCCCGAGUAGCUGGGAUUAUAGGCAUGCCCCACCACGCCCAGCUAAUUUUGUAUUUUUAGUAGAGAUAGAGUUUCUCCAUGUUGGUCAGGCUGGUCUCGAGCUCCUGACCUCAGGUGAUCUGCCCACCUUGGUCUCCCAAAGUGCUGGGAUUACAGGCGUGAGCCACCGUGCCCGGCUGGAAAAUGAGUUUUGAAAGCAAGAACCAUACUGACUUCUUAACACUUGGGUGCCUUCUUUUUCUUACCAUUUCUUCCUUAAUUGAGGCACAAAUCUUUUAGCUGUUAUGCAGUGAAUAUAUCAUGGAAGAAUUUUUCUUUUAAAAAGGAAAACAAAGAAAAAUAAAAUUCAAUGUCUAAAAUAUGGCCAUGGAGUAAACUAAUAAUAUGCAAGGUGUGUUUACAUGUAGUCUACCUUUAUCAUUUAUGAUUUUCUUUACCAGUUUUAUCUCCAGUAUAUAACUUUACAAGCAUUAUUUUUACGUGAAGCUGUGAUACUUCGUGGAUGAACUUGACAAAAUUAGAUUUUCUUUUGCCAAGUGUAUUAGGGUUCUCCAGAGAGACAGAACUAAUAAAGUAUAGGAAGGGAUUUAUCAUAAGAAAUUUGCUCAUGUGAUUGUGGAGUCUGAGAAGUCCCCAGAUCUGCAGUCAGAAAGCUGGAGACCUGGGAGAGCUGAUGGUGUAGUUGUAGUCUGAGUCCAAAGGCCUGGGAACCAGAAGAGCCAAUGAUACAGUUCCAGUCUAAAAGCUGGCUGACCCAAGGCUCAAGAAGAGCUGAUGUUUUAGUGUGAGUCUAAAGGCAGGAAAAUCCGAUGUCCCAGCUCAAAGGCAGACAGGCAGGAGGAAUUACCUCUUACUUGAGGGAGGUUUGGGUCUUUUAUUCUAGCCAAUUGAUUGGAUGAAGUGCACCCACAUUAGGCAGGGAAAUCUUUUUUGCUGAGAAUGUUAAUCUCACCCAAAAACACACUCACAGACACACCCAGGGUAAUGUUUGACCAAAUGACUGGGCACCCUGUGGGGCAGUCAAGUUGACACAGAAUUACCCAACACAGCAGGUGAGAUUCAAUCACAUGAUUCAGUAAUUUUAAUAAUUAUAUGAUUAAAUGCUAAUAAAUUUACAUGCAAAGAAUUUUGCCUAUAUUAUAAGCUCAAGUAUUUGGCCAUAGAACAUUUAAAGACAUGCUUAGCCAAUUUAAGGAAAAAUUAGUUAGCCAUUGCAACAUUAUCUUCAAAGCUAUUGUUGGAAUAAAAACUAUCCUAAAAAAGUAGCCCCCACUUAAUGUGUUGAUUAAUUCAUCUAUCUAGCCAUGAAUGUGUUCCACAAACUUUAGUUGAGUAUCUACUAUAUGCUAGGCACUGUGCCAGGCAUAUGGCACACAGAUACCAAAGAAAAUAAACCUGGUUUCUGCCAGCUAGGAACUCUGUCUGGCAAGGUGGGACAGCCAAAUAAAUAAAUUAGGAGGAAAGUGUUAAUGGUAGGCUGGCCUGACCACACAUCGUAUUAGCCUAGAGCAGUCCUCUUUUCUAUCUCUUUUCUCAAUCUACGAAUAGCUCUCUAUCAUUUGCAAACAUACCCUAAGUUGGGCAAUAAAUUUUGCAGCCACCUGGGUGUAGGCGAUGUGAGAGAAGUUUCUCUAAGAUACAGUAGGAGUGCCCAUGGAGGGAACAGAUGAUCUAGCUGUUGGAGGGUGGGAGAAGGAGAGCCCUCAAUCCUGGGAUUAAUCCUGAAAAAUGAGAGUGGUGUUUAAGAUGCAGAGAGAAAAGGAAAGGAGCUUUGUGAAAGAAGGGAACUCUGUGCAUAAGGAAAAAGAGGCAGGGCUCAGUCGUAGGUGCAGGACAAUUGUAAAUAUGCAGAUCUGGCUAGGGCAGUGGGGUCUGAGGGGCUUGGGAGGCAAUAAGGCCGUGGGGGGUUGCAGCCACCACAUCCCAGAGGCCUCACUCUGUUGUGCUAAAGAGCUUGAAUACAUCCCGAUGGCGGUUAUAUGACACAGUGGCAGUCAUGGCAGAUAAUGGUUUGGUUAGAUUUGUGAUUUAGAACAACAAACACAUCUGGUAAAAGUUGACUUCCUGGGCCGGACAUGGUGGCUCACGCCUGUAAUCCCAGCAUUUUGGGAGGCUGAGGUUGGUGGAUGACCUGAGGUCAGGAGUUUGAGACCAGGCUGGCCAACAUGGUGAAACCCCAUCUCUACUAAAAAUACAAAACUUAGCCAGGUGUGGUGGUGCUUGUCUGUAAUCCCGGCUACUCAGGAGGCUGAGGCAAGGGAAUCCAGGAGGCAGAGGUUGCAGUGAGCCAAGAUCAUGCCACUGCACUCCAGCCUGGGUGACAUAGCGAGUUUCCAUCUCAAGAAAAAAAAAAGUUUAAAAUUCAAUUAUUACAUAUUUUAUCUUAGACUAUUGACUAACUUCACAUUCGUGCAAUACAGAAAUGGGGGAGGUAGCAUAAUAGCCAAUUUUUCCAAUUGAUGGGAAUACAUCCUUUGCUUUUGUAUAUUUUUGUGAGAAAAUUAUUUCAAUUUAAGCAUUAUGUAAUUAGUGACCACUUUUCAGGAAUUGAACCACUCUGUAAAUCCAGAUUUGUGGAUGGGGAGACAGAACAUCAGAAAGUUAUGAAAAUAAAACUUGAAAAGGUAAUAUAAAAUUUAAAUGAAGUGGGAAAAAGAGUCAGAAAUUCUUUACACUUUCAGAAAUUUGAUUCCUUCAAAUUAUAUGUGAGUUUUUGUGAUUAUUUACUGAUCACUGCCUACAAUUACACUGUUUUUAAGGGAUGACACUUGGCAACCAUUUAACUGAACUUCACUUUCCCAUUGGAGGUGUCGGAUGUCAUGAGAAGUUAAGAGACUAGGCAAGUCAUAGUCAGAGACAUCCCUAGACCAGUGUAACAUUUCCCAGGAAAGACACAAGAGUUGUAUUUAUCAUUACAUUCAUUUCCUUAAUAUAGCUCAUAUCCUUUUUUGAAGGAUAUGUUGUAAGCCUGAGGUCCUUUUAGAAAAUCUCAAUUUGUCUGACAAGAAAAUAAAGAUCACAAAAACCCUUAGUUUCUCAACAAGAAAGUAAAUAAGAUGAAAAAUCCUUGUGUGGUGAGUUAAUAUUUUGAAAUCUCUCUCUCUCUUUUCCUCUGUAUUCUCUCUCACCCCCUCAUGUCUCCUCCAUUCAAUUAAACUAGUAAAUAAGAUGAAAAAUCCAUGUGUGGUGAGUUAAUAUUUUGAAAUCUCUCUCUCUUUUCCUCUGUAUUCUCUCUCUCCCCUUCAUGUCUCAUCCAUUCAAUUAAACUAUAUCAUCUUCUGCUUAUUGAACCAAGAAAGGAAUGUGACAGAAAGAGAAAAAAAAGAGCCUCUACUAGGAUUUUGAGUUUACAGAGACAAGGCCUUGGGGAAGCAGCAAGGAUUCAUGGCAUAGACCAGGGGUUCUAACCAGGCAGCUUGUUUCCACCCCUUAGGGGACAUUUGGAAUUGUGUUGUGUGGGAUUGGGGAGAUGUUUGUCACAAUAACUGGGAAAUAUCCCAUUAUCUACAAGUAGUAGAUGGGGCCAAGGAUGCUAAACAUUCUGCAAGGAGUGGACAGUCCUACAUACCAAAGAAGGGCUGACCCCAAGUGUCAAGAGCACCCCUGUUAAAACUUACUGGAAGGCAAAGAUAUAGAAAAAUUGGAACCCUUGUACAUUGCUGGUGGGAAUGUAAAUGGUGCAGCACUGUGAAAAAGAGUUUAGCAAUUAAACAGAGAAUUACCAUAUGAUCCAGCAAUUCCCCUUUUGGGUAUAAUCCUUUUGCAUCCAAAAGGAUUAAAAGCAGAGAUUUAAGCAGAUAUCUAUACACCAAUGUUCAUGGCAGCAUCAUUCACAAUAGUCAAAAAAGGUGGAAACAAGCCAAGUAUCAAUCAUUGGAUGAAAGGAUAAAGAAAACAUGGUGUAUACAUACAACAGAAUAUUAUUCAGACUUAAAUAGGAAGGAAAUCUGACAUGUGCUUCAACAAGAUAAAUUUUGAAGAUAGUAUGUUAGUGAAAUAAGCCAGUAAUAAAAAGACAAAUAUGUAACUCCACUUAUAGGAAUAGAAAGUAUCUAGAAUAGUCAAAUUCAUAGAGACAGAAAGUAGAAGAGUGGUUGCCAGGGCCUGAGGCAGUUAGUGAUGAAUGGAUAUAGAGUUUCAGUUUGGAAAGAUGAAAAAAUUCUGGAAGCAGAAGGUGGUGAUGGUUGCAUAACAAUGUGAAUGUACUUAAUGCCAUGAACUAUAUACAUUUUAAAAUGGUUAAAAUGGUAAAUUUUAUAUUAUAUAUAUUUUAUCACAGUUUAAAAAUAAAAAAUGCCACUCACUCAAGGAGAGGAGCUGACGUUGAAAGCAAUUCUGUUUUGCCCUUGGUACCAAAAUUGAAGAAGGCUGGGGGAAGAAGCAUGGUGGGCAAGCAUGAGAGGCAGAUAGUGUGGGCUCCUGGGCAAGGGCCUGCACCCUGCUCUUGGGGAAUGGGCAGAAACCUUGACAGAUUUAAGACAAAGGAAACUUGGACCUCAUUUCCUAGGUAAAUCUCUGAGGGGGAAAAAAAAAAUAUAUAUAUAUAUAUAAUGAAUUGAAGGGUAGGCAGAUGGAAAUAAAGGCCUCAUAAGGAUUGAAUUUGUGACCACAGACAACCCAGGUUGAUUCGCAAGUCAGUGUGCACUGAGUAGAGACAACCUACAGAACCACACGAGCCCACCCAAUGCCUUGGUUCUGUGUGAGCCACCCCAGAAUUCACAGGUAACAGCAUAUGGACAGGGAAAGUUCCUGAACUGGCUGCAUAAGGGCUUGAAAUAGAAUUUUAAUUGCAUCAUAAAGUUAAAUUUCUUGCAUACUGAAUCUCCAGCCUGAUAUAAGAAGCCAUCACAGCUGGGCAUGGUGGCCUGUAGUCCUAGUUACUCAGGAGGCUGAGAUAGGAGGAUCACUUGAGCCAAUGAGGUUGAGGCUGCAGUGAGCUAUGAUUGCACCACAGCACUCCAGCCUGGGUGACAGGGCAAGAUCCCAUCUCUAAAAAAGAAAAAAAUAAUAAAAAAUUAAAAAGAAGCCAGUAUUACAUUCCUUUCAGCUCUAAGCUACCCUAAUGCUUGGAGCCUUCAUAGUAACAUUCCAUGGUAAUUUUUUCACAUGUAUGAGAUUUUCCAUCAUAAGUGACUACAAUUAGCAUAUCUGGGUGAUGUGUAUGUGUUGGUUCCUUGUUUUACCUGGAACAGAAGGAAGGAAUUGGCUGCCAGAUAUUUGAAAAUUUGUUGUUGGAAAUGGCAGCACUGCAUGUAAGAGGAGCUUUUUCAAAUGAAUCAGUAGAUAAAAGGUGGAAGCUUGGCUCUUCCAGCCAAGCUCCCUUCAACAAGAGGAAUGAAAAUUGUAGUUCAAUGCCUGCUGCUCACUUAUCUCGUGUCUCAUAUCUUACUGCAACUUCCAGAAUGAAAAGACCCUGCCACAAUGAGGGGCUGAGUAAUUAAUUGCCUGAAACACAUGGGUAGUCUGAAAUUUGAGAUUCUUAUAAAGGUGUGACUCACAGCUUUCUUAGAAAAAGAGAACAAAUAUCCAUUGCACCAGGAACAGGGAAAUUUCCCUCCCAUCUUCUUCUCUUUCCUAUUAGGAUCUCAUUCUGUAGCCCAGGAUGAAGAGCAGUGGCAUAAUCAUAGCCCACUUCAGCUUUGACCUCUCAGUCUCAAGUGAUAGUCCCCCCACAGCCUCCUGAGUAGCUGGGACCACAGGCAUGCACCACCAUACCCAGAAGCCACUGUGGAAGAUGACGAAAGGAAAAUGAAUCACAGAUGAGGAAGAAACAAAAACAAAUGAAAUAAAGAAAACGAACGGACACAGACUUUAGGAAUGAUGUUUGAUUCCUAAUUAGGCUUGAUAUUACCAUGUUUGGUUACUGGUGUGUUUUCAUUCAUGUCUUUUGACCUGCUUAAAAAAGGAAAGAGGUCACUUCAAGGGAUCCACAUUUCAAUUUCAGUGUGUGGCACAAUUACUCUAUACUAAGAGUCUACUAGCCGUCAUUCCCACAGUAAGGCCUGGCUUGUUCGUACACUGGGUGCAUCUCUGAUCUAAUUUUAUUAUGGAUGACAGCAUGACAUUCAUUUCCACCACAUUCUACACCGCUCCAAUUCUGAACUUGGCAUGUAAUAGCCAUAAAAUAACAUGAGUAAAGAAGGGGACUCCUGCACAGAACUCUGGAAACCAAUGCCCAAUUUACGAGUCCAAGCAUGCAUGACUACUGUAAACCAGAAUGGUACUAAAACCAAUAGAUAUAUGAGAAGAAAAUGAAUAGUUACGUAAAGGUUUAUUGUAGACACUGGUUCAUUUUCAUAAUUUUAGGUUGAAUAUACCCAGCUGAUGAAAGCUUUGAAAAACUGAGUAUAAUUCCUUAUUAAAAUUAAAAGCACAACCUGUUUUUUUUGUUUGUUUGUUUUUUUGUUUUUUUUUUUUUUUGAGACAGAGUCUUGCUCUGUUGCCUAGGCUGGAGUGCAGUGGCAUGAUCUAGGAUCACUGCAGCCUCUGCCUCCUGGGUUCAAGCGAUUCUCCUGCCUCAUCCUUCGAAAUAGCUGGGAUAACAGGCUUGUGUCACCAUGCCUGGCUAAUUUUUGUAUUUUUAGUAGAGACGGGGUUUCACCAUGUUACUCAGGCUGGUCUCAAACUCCUGACCUCAGUGAUCCACUCGCCUCCGUCUUCGAAAUUGCUGGGAUUACAGGCGUGAGCCACCAUGCCCAGCCGACCUGUUAUUUUUGAAAGAAAGCUAACUUUAGGGAACUCAGUAUUUGCAUGGCACCAAAUUAUCACCCCAGGAUGACUAGCGAAUUGACAAAGGGAAAAUAUAUCUUAAUAGUAAAGAGAAUUGUGGUUGCCAUUACCUUAAUUUGGGAAUCAAACUUGGCAUCACUAAUAGUGAGAAAACCAGGCUCAAUGUGAUCCUGAUGCCAUGCACUAUGUUUUUAAAAUUUUUAUUAAAAAUUUUUUUUGUGAGAGAGCCUCUCGGUCUGUCACCCAGGUUGGAGGGCAGUGGCAUGAUCACAGCUCACUACAGCCUCCAACUCCUGGGCUCAAGCAUGAUCCUCUCAUCUCAGUUUCUUGAGUAGCUGAGACUACAGGUGUGAGCCACCAUGCCUGGCUGCUGCCAUGCAGUAUGAAGGAGAUAGCCUCAUCUAUGAGUAUUCUUCAAAAUGUGUAACCUGAAUCAAGUCAAGACUUUAGGUGUGUAGGCUAUACAGAGGAUGGAGGAACAAGUUAAGCCACUUUAAAGAAAGAAUCAAAAAGUCUAGAACUGGGGCCUUCUAUAAGACAGGCUUAGUACAGUACAAAAAAGUGAUGAAGACCAGGACUGGUUUUUUUUGUUUGUUUGUUUUGUUUUUUUUUAAGGCCUGGCCUUUUAAAAAAGUCAAUAGCAUGAGAAAAGGGGAAACAGGGCUGGGCUCUGGAUUAAAAAAGAUGGACGACAUGACAAUUGUCACAUGUGUUCCUUGAUUAGAUUCAAAAUUGGAAAAAAACUCUACAUAUACUGAGUUGAUCAUUAUACAAUUCUACAUGCAUUGAAACAUCACACUGUACUCCAUAAGAAUGUGCAAUUAUUAUGUAGCAAUUAUAAAUAAAAAUUAAUUUUAAAACAGUAUGUUCUUAAAAACCCUAUAAAACCAUGAUAAUCAUUUGAAUAUGGACUGCGUAUUAUAUGAUAUUAAGGAAUUACUGUGAAUUUAUUAAGUGGCAUAUAUUGGUAUUUGGUUAUGUUAAAAAGGUGUCCUCAUUUUUUUUUAAAUGUAUGCUGAAGUACUGGAGGGUGAUUGAUUUUAAAAUGGUCUAGCAACCACAAAAAAACAGAUGAAGCAAAGAUGGCAAAAUAAUAACAAUUAUUAAUUAAAUGUAUUGGGUUAUGGGUAUGCAUUGUAUUAUUUUUUCUAUUUCUCUGCAUGUUUGAACAUUUUUAUGAUAAAAAGGUAAGGAAAAAAACCUUAGCUUUUAUUAGUUGCUAAUGAAAAUCAGGUGUUUCAAAACUAAUUAGUUUUUCUCUAUCCAUUUGGACCAGAUCACCCUUCCAAAUGAGCAAAAAAUUUAAAAAUAAAAUAACAUACUGAUAAUUUUUAAAAAUUAAGCACAGGUGCAGCCCUCAAGUGUCAACAACAGCAACAAAAUGGCAAUAAUUUAAACCACAUCAAUUUCCCUUUAAUUAUCUUUAUCUUAUGAGAUACAAACAAAAAUUUGCAGUGGUAACAGUGUCUGGUGUUUAUGUUUAAAUCCAUAUAAAUUGGUUACUUGCUGUUCAUAUCAGUGAAUGGUUUAAAGUGAAAACAACCCUGGUAAUCACAAAUUAUCUGUUGUAAUCAACUUUUCCACGUGAGUUAAUUGAAGCAUAGUGAGUACCAAUAAGUAAAAAGAAAGCUAGGCUUAGGGAACAGUUCACAAUUUAUAAAUAAUUAUGCCACUUAGCAAAUUAGUAAAGUAAUUUACUCCUCACAUCUACAAACCCUUGAACAACACAGGUUUGAACUGCGAGGGUCCGCUUAUAUGUGGAUUUUUUUCAGUAAAAGUUACAUUAAGUGUGUCUGGCUCUCCUGCCUCCCCCUCCACAUCCUCCACCUCUUCCGCCUCUGCCACCCCUGAGACAGCAAGACCAACCCCUCUUCCUGCUCAGCCUACUCAACUUGAAGAGGACACGGAUGAAGACCUUUAUGAUAAUCCACUUCCACUUAAUGAAAGUUAAUAUAUUUUCUCUUCCUUGUGAUUUUCUUAUUAAAAUUUUCUUUUCUCUAGCUUACUUUACUGUAAGAAUACAGUAUAUAAUACAUCUAACACAAAAUAUGUGUUAAUCAGCUGUUUAUGUUAUCAGUAAGGCUUCCAGUCAACAGUAGGCUAUUAGUAAAGUGUUUGGGGAGUCGAAAGUUACACUCAGAUUUUUGACUGCAAGGGUGUCAGCACCUCUGACCCUUGUGUUGUUCAAGAGUCAACUUUUUUUUUUAAUCAGCCUACUUUCCUAUCUGGAUUUAUGUGUAGAGUAUAUGGAUUAAAUUAAAUAUUUAUAUUUUACUGUAUACAUUUGACUUACAUUAUCUUGAUUUGGUGGUUGAGUGAUCAUUAUAAAAUUGCUGGAAUUCAUUUCCUGUAAGAAUAAAGUAAUUAGCAGUUGGGCAUAAUGGAAAUGGCAUGGGACUGGGAGUUAUAAAACCUGAAUGAUAUAGGCCACACUUAUGUGCUUGUGUAACUAAAUAAAUAUCUGUUUGACUUUGGGCAAA